rnacentral:rRNA from 1 species
CCUACGGGGGGCUGCAGUGGGGAAUCUUGCGCAAUGGGCGAAAGCCUGACGCAGCAACGCCGCGUGCGGGAAGAAGGCUCUCGGGUUGUAAACCGCUUUCAGCAGGAACGAAAAUGACGGUACUUGCAUAAGAAGGUGCGGCCAACUACGUUCCAGCAGCCGCGGUGACACGUAGUCACCACGCGUUUUCCGGAUGUAUUGGGCGUAAAGAGCUCGUAGGCGGUUCGGUAAGUCGGGUGUGAAAUCUCGGGGCGUAACCCCGAGCCUGCAUCCGAUACUGCUGUGACUAGAGUUCGGUAGGGGAGUGGGGAAUUCCUAGUGUAGCGGUGAAAUGCGCAGAUAUUAGGAGGAACACCGGUGGCGAAGGCGCCACUCUGGGCCGAUACUGACGCUGAGGAGCGAAAGCGUGGGUAGCAAACAGGAUUAGAUACCCCAGUAGUC